rnacentral:rRNA from 1 species
UGAGCCAAGUUUAGGGUUUCUUAAAAACCCAAGCAGUAUUGAACUGAAGAGUUUGAUCAUGGCUCAGAUUGAACGCUGGCGGCAGGCCUAACACAUGCA